rnacentral:rRNA from 1 species
UACGUAGGGUGCAAGCGUUGUCCGGAAUUAUUGGGCGUAAAGAGCUCGUAGGCGGCCUGUCGCGUCUGCUGUGAAAUCCCGGGGCUUAACCCCGGGCGUGCAGUGGAUACGGGCUGGCUGGAGGCAGGCAGGGGAGAACGGAAUUCCCGGUGUAGCGGUGAAAUGCGCAGAUAUCAGGAGGAACACCGGUGGCGAAGGCGGGUCUCUGGGCCGAUACUGACGCUGAGGAGCGAAAGCGUGGGGAGCGAACAGG